rnacentral:tRNA from 1 species
GUUUUUGUAGUUGAAUACAACGAUGGUUUUUCGGAUCGUAAGUCUUGGUUAAAAUCCAGGCAAGAAUU